GCAACGCACGGGUAUUUUUGCUAGUAUAUAUAGAAAUAUCAAAAAAUAUAUGAUUUUAUCAAAUUACUUUUUAAGUUCAAUCACUAUAUGAUCACCAUAUUUCUAAGAAAAAUAUUUUAGAUGUUAUUUAGAGUUAAAAUUUUUAGAAUUUAACAAUAACCUUGUGUUAAAACGAUGAGUAUUA
rnacentral:snRNA from 1 species